rnacentral:misc_RNA from 1 species
UUUCCGUAGGUGAACCUGCGGAAGGAUCAUUAUUGUAUAACCGAGGUGCGAGGGCUGUCGCUGUCCCGAAAGGUCGUGCACGCCCGAGUGCCCUCACACACAUCCAUCUCACCCCUAUGUGCACCACCGCGUGGGUCCCCCUUUGGCUUGUUCGGAGGGGGGCUUACGUUUUCACACAAACUUUGUAUGCAGUGUAGAAUGUAUUUUUUGUUUUUGCGAUCACGCAAUCAAUACAACUUUCAACAACGGAUCUCUUGGCUCUCGCAUCGAUGAGAACGCAGC